rnacentral:rRNA from 1 species
CCCUUAGAUGUUCUGGGCCGCACGCGUGCUACACUGAGUGGAUCAGCGGGUCAGGUUGCGCGAAAGCGUUUCCUAAUCUUUAAAUCCGCUCGUGAUGGGUAUUGACGGUUGCAAUUUUCUGUCAUGAACGAGGAAUACCUUGUAAGCGCGGGUCAUCAUCCCGCGCUGAAUACGUCCCUGCCCUUUGUACACACCGCCCGUCGCUCCUACCGAUUGAGUGGUCCGGUGAGGCUUUGGGAUCUGAGCGGAAAGAGCGUUUCGCUGUUUCUGCUCGGAAAACUCAGUCGAACCUUAUCAUUUAGAGGAAGGAGAAGUCGUAACA